AGAAGCUGAGACGUUACAUCCACAACUAUGAGGUGAAGAGAGAUAAUUGCAAUAGUGUGGGCUUUUGAAACCUCAUGGGCCACCCUCAGUGACACACCCUCUCCAGUAAGGCCACAUCUUCCUGAACAGUUCCACUAACUGGGGACCAAGUAUUGAAACAUACUAAAGUCACAUCAGAUAAGAGUUCUCUCUUGAAGACCCCAGACAAAGGAACAAAGUGGGUGGAUGAUAGGGGACACCUCGUGAACAGCCUUCCCCACACACCUCAGGGGUCUGUCUUCUUGGAGCAUGAAAGUUAUGCUUCAUUUCCUGUGUCAGAGAGGUCCCAACUCAGGCCUUGGGUCUGGGGAGAUGCCAAGGCCAGCAGUGGGUAAAUAUUUGUUCCCUCAUGCUUAUGGGCUUGGGUCCUGCUAGGUUUAGAGGCAGGGGUUGAGACUCUUAAGGCAGACUUGAGGAUCUAGGCACCUACAUCCAUUAAGGUUAGGAAUUCAGAAGCAGUAGGCCGUAAGCACUCACAUUCCUCUCAGGCAGCAUGGAUCCAGUUCUAGCCAUAUUCAUAGGUGGAGUAGAGCUACAGCUGGUCCCUACCACACCCAGCCCAGUGUGCAGUGUCAGGGGCAAAAUCCACUUUGUGGGUCAAACGUCUAAGCUUUGCAAGGCAAGGAGUUUAGCAUCAAGAGUGGUCCAUGGCUGUCUGCCCACCCACUGCUGGGACAGAAGCAGCUCUCAGCCACAGCCACCCCCAUCAAUCAAUAUUUUUAAUUACCUUUACAUGAUUGACUAAUAAAAUUCUCCACUGACUAAUUG